CUUGAAAAUAUUUAUUGCGUUUGGUAGUUCUAAAAAUAUAAGGUUUAAUUGACAAUUCGAUAUAAUGCUCGACACAUUUAUUUCGCUACCUACCAUAGAGAAAUAUAAUAGUGAUAAAUGUAACAAUAGUAAAAUAUAUUUUGUCACUUGGCUGCUAUUCAAAAUAUUAUGUACUUGUCUGAUUUACUCUGCAUACCUAAAAUAUAAACAUUGUAUUCUCUUAGUAGUUGGCCUAUUUCCUAUUUCAUUAUUUCAUAAAAUAAUAUGUAUACAAAAUAUCCGUAAAACCCAAUGUU